AUGUUCGCCGUCUCCCAGGAGGUGCCACUCACGCAUCUUCCUCAACAAGGCACACACACGGCGGUUUUGGAUUGGAUGGCCAAAACCUGUCAGAGAUCUGGAAGAGAAGUGACUUGCCUGGAGUCACAGGACGAGAAAAUGAGGCUGAGUCAUACACAUGACUUAAUCUGCCAUUUUAAAAGGAUGGAAAAGGUUCUGUUGCUGAACCACUGCAUCUCCAACUCUGAGGGAGGUACUGGAAUGAGACACACCACUGUGAUACGCAUCUCCUCUUACUUGAGAUCUCGUACCAGUUUAGAACCAAGAACCAAGUCAAACCAUUACCAUAAAAUAUUAAGUAUCCAGGUUACUAAGACCCAUCCAGAAGACAGAGGCAUGAACUUUCCUGGCUAUCACUCAGCUGUUCAAUGA
rnacentral:lncRNA from 13 species